AGACAAUAGAUACCCCGGUAGUCCACGCCCUAAACGAUGUCGACUGGUUGUUGGGGGUUUGACACUCUCAGUAAACGAAAGCUAAACGCGUGAAGUCGACCGCCUGGGGAGUACGGCCGCAAGGUUAAAACUCAAAGGAAUUGACGGGGACCCGCACAAGCGGUGGAUUAUGUGGAUUAAUUCGAUGCAACGCGAAAAACCUUACCUACCCUUGACAUGUCCGGAGGCCUGCUGAAAGGCGGGUGUGCCCGAAAGGGAACCGGAACACAGGCGCUGCAUGGCUGUCGUCAGCUCGUGUCGUGAGAUGUUGGGUUAAGUCCCGCAACGAGCGCAACCCUUGUCAUUAGUUGCUACAUUCAGUUGGGCACUCUAAUGAGACUGCCGGUGACAAACCGGAGGAAGGUGGGGAUGACGUCAAGUCCUCAUGGCCCUUAUGGGUAGGGCUUCACACGUAAUACAAUGGCGCGUACAGAGGGCUGCUAAGCCGCGAGGUAGAGCCAAUCCCUUAAAGCGCGUCGUAGUCCGGAUUGCAGUCUGCAACUCGACUGC
rnacentral:rRNA from 1 species